UGGAGGUGAUGACUGAUUAUCUGAGAUACUGAUGAAAAUUAUCACAGAAAUCCUAGUUAGUCAAGUACUGAUCCAG
ensembl:snoRNA small nucleolar RNA, C/D box 20